rnacentral:rRNA from 1 species
UAAAUACUCCCGAGAGACCGAUAGCGAACCAGUACCGUGAGGGAAAGGUGAAAAGAACCCCGAGCAGGGGAGUGAAAUAGACCCUGAACCCGUCUGCCUACAAGCGGUCGGAGCGUCGUAAUGACGUGACGGCGUGCCUUUUGCAUAAUGAACCUACGAGUUACCUUCCCCGGCAAGGUUAAGUACCUAAGGUACGGAGCCGAAGCGAAAGCGAGUCUGAACAGGGCGGCCAGUCAGUGGUUGUAGACGCGAAACCUUGCGAUCUACCCUUGAGCAGGAUGAAGGUCGGGUAACACCGACUGGAGGUCCGAACGAAUAAGCGUUGAAAAGCUUCUCGAUGACUUGAGGGUAGGGGUGAAAGGCUAAUCAAGCUGGGAAAUAGCUCGUACUCCCCGAAAUGCCUUUAGGGGCAGCGUUGUAAUAAAGAGUCUACUGGAGGUAGAGCUACUGAUUGGAUGCGGGGGCUUCACCGCCUACCAAAUCCUGACAAACUCCGAAUGCCAGUAGUAUGAUUUACAGCAGUGAGUGACUGGGUGCUAAUGUCCAGUCGCAAAAGAGGAACAACUCAGACCAGCAACUAAGGUCCCGAAGAAUAUGCUAAGUUGAUCUAACGAUGUUUUGUUGCAGAGACAGCUAGGAUGUUAGCUUGGAAGCAGCUAUUCAUUCAAAGAGUGCGUAACAGCUCACUAGUCGAGCGACAGAGCGUGGAUAAUAAACGGGCAUCAAGCAUAUCACCGAAGUUCUGGGCGCGAGAGCGCGGUAGGGGAGCAUUCCAUUCAGCGUCGAAGCAGUUUCGUGAGGAAUUGUGGAGCGUAUGGAAAAGCAAAUGUAGGCAUGAGUAACGAUAAUGCGGGAGAGUAACCCGCACACCGCAAGACCAAGGUUUCCUGAUCAACGCUAAUCGGAUCAGGGUUAGUCGGGUCCUAAGGGUAAGCCGAACGGCGAUCUCGAUGGAUAAUCGGUUAAUAUUCCGAUACUAACAUAUACCUCGAUGGAGAGACGAAGGAACGUAAGUGCCGCCACCUGACGGAAUAGGUGGUUAAAGGGCGUAGGUAUAGGGACAGAUUAAGAGUUAGUCCUUGCUGAAAUCCGACAGUACGGAGCGGCUACGGCCAAUCCGAUAGUGCACCCAAGUAUACUUCCGAGAAAAUCUUCUAAGUUAUAGUAUAUGUCACCCGUACCGUAAACCGACACAGGUGGUCGAGGAGAGUAUCCUAAGGUGCUCGAGUGAAUCACGGUUAAGGAACUAGGCAAAUUAACCCCGUAACUUCGGGAAAAGGGGUCCCUACGAAAGUAGGGCGCAGCGAAGAGGUCCAGGCGACUGUUUAUCAAAAACACAGGGCUCUGCAAAUUCGAAAGAAGACGUAUAGGGCCUGACACCUGCCCGGUGCUGGAAGGUUAAGAGGGGAUGUCAUCGCAAGAGAAGCAUUGAAUCGAAGCCCCAGUAAACGGCGGCCGUAACUAUAACGGUCCUAAGGUAGCGAAAUUCCUUGUCAGGUAAGUUCUGACCCGCACGAAUGGCGUAACGAUUUGGGCACUGUCUCAACAGCCCGCCCGGCGAAAUUGUAGUACCGGUGAAGAUGCCGGUUACCCGCGACAAGACGGAAAGACCCCAUGGAGCUUUACUGCAGCCUAAUAUUGGAUUUCGGUAUUUCAUGUACAGGAUAGGUGGGAGACUGGGAAACACAGGCGUCAGCUUGUGCGGAGUCGCCCUUGGGAUACCACCCUUGAAGUGCUGGAAUUCUAACCUGUGGCCAUGAAUCUGGUCAGGGGACAUUGUUAGGCGGGCAGUUUGACUGGGGCGGUCGCCUCCAAAAGAGUAACGGAGGCGCUCAAAGGUUCGUUCAGCACGGACGGAAAUCGUGCAUUGAGUGUAAACGCAUAAACGAGCCUAACUGCGAGACCGACGGGUCGAGCAGUAACGAAAGUUGGAGUUAGUGAUCCGGUGGUAUGUGAGUGGAAAUGCCAUCGCUCAACGGAUAAAAGCUACCCUGGGGAUAACAGGCUGAUCUCCCCCAAGAGUCCACAUCGACGGGGAGGUUUGGCACCUCGAUGUCGGCUCAUCACAUCCUGGGGCUGUAUUCGGUCCCAAGGGUUCGGCUGUUCGCCGAUUAAAGUGGUACGCGAGCUGGGUUCAGAACGUCGUGAGACAGUUCGGUCCCUAUCUGUCGUGGGCGCAGGAUAUUUGAAAGGAGCUGUCCCUAGUACGAGAGGACCGGGAUGGACGCACCUCUGGUGCACCAGUUGUCACGCCAGUGGCACAGCUGGGCAGCUAUGUGCGGAACGGAUAAACGCUGAAAGCAUCUAAGCGUGAAGCCGCCUCCAAGAUAAGAUAUCCCAUAGCAUAAGCUAGUAAGACCCCUCAUGGACUAAGAGGUUGAUAGGCUGCAUGUGUAAGCGCGGUGACGCGUUUAGCUUGGCAGUACUAAUAGGUCGAGGGCUUGACUUU